rnacentral:lncRNA from 1 species
UUUGUCAACUUCGUGUUUCAUUAAAAUCCCAAGAGUCACGUGAUACAACUUUGGAUAAACAUUACAAGUACAAACCAUUAUACGUGUACACAUCCCGCAGAAGGUAAUGACACGUGUAAGGUAAGAAACAUGCAUCUCGAAUUUUCAGCUUCGCCGGCAAUCUUGACGGUCAUCUCCGGUGACUACGCCUUUGAACCACCGACACAUCAUGUUCUUCCCUUUUUCAUGCUUCAUUGAUUUCAAGAACUGUAUCUGAAGACUCUUCCUUUCGCCAUCAACCGAAGGUUUA